UACGUAGGGAGCAAGCGUUGUCCGGAAUCAUUGGGCGUAAAGCGCGCGUAGGUGGCCUCGUAAGUCCGCUGUGAAAGUCAAAGGCUCAACCUUUGAAAGCCGGUGGAUACUGUGAGGCUAGAGUACGGAAGAGGCGAGUGGAAUUCCUGGUGUAGCGGUGGAAUGCGCAGAUAUCAGGAGGAACACCGAUGGCGAAGGCAGGUCUCUGGGCCAUUACUGACACUGAGACGCGAAAGCGUGGGGAGCAAACAGG
rnacentral:rRNA from 1 species